UACUCGAGUGGCGAACGGGUGAGUAACACGUGGGUGAUCUGCCCUGCACUUCGGGAUAAGCCUGGGAAACUGGGUCUAAUACCGGAUAGGACGAUGGUUUGGAUGCCACUGUGGAAAGUUUUUCGGUGUGGGAUGAGCUCGCGGCCUAUCAGCUUGUUGGUGGGGUAAUGGCCUACCAAGGCGUCGACGGGUAGCCGGCCUGAGAGGGUGUACGGCCACAUUGGGACUGAGAUACGGCCCAG
rnacentral:rRNA from 1 species